rnacentral:lncRNA from 1 species
UAAUAGAAAGCAGUCAUAAGAGCAUUAUCACUUCUAUAACCAAAACUAUGCAAGAAGGUGGUUAUUUAGGGCCUAAAUAUAGUUAAAUUCACCUAUUAUCAACACCCUACACUUAAACCUUUGCACGUCCUCGAGCAAGCUAAACCACACUUCUGGGCCUAACCGUUUGAUGCAUUACCCCAAGUAUGUCACAUCAACCAUUUUGACGAAACAACCUAAGCAAUGAUAUAGUCAUACCCAGACGCAGACUCUAUUGCCAUGACAUGCUCGCUCUGACUCUACUACUCUAACAGAGGUGAAGAUUUACUUUUCCUUCCCGAGUCACAUGCCCUCACAUCAAAAGUCUGAGAGAGAUUCCACAAACAUUAAAUUCAAGGAACACUGAACCAGAGAUAGAAAGAAUUCACUUAUUCUCAGCAAAGAACAUUCACAUUCCACACAAAC